UACUGGAUAAGUUUAAGGUGUCCAGCAUAACAGUUUGACAUAUCUUUGAAUUUUCUUGAUGGUGUCUUUGUAGCACAAGAGUUUUUAAUUUUAAUGAAGUCCAAUUUAUCCAUUUUGAGUUGACUUUAUAGAUGGCAAGCGUCGCAGCUUGUUUCUUCUUUGCGUACGGAUCUCCAAUUCUCCUACCUCCGUAUGUUGAAAGGACUGGGCAGGUAUAUUUGCGCAGGGCAGGCUGCACAGGCACAGGGCUGCGCUGCCAGCUAGUCGGACUGCAUGUGGUUGAGCAGACUGUGGUGAGCGUGUUGGUGCUCCAUGGUGAGCAGAGAUAGGAUGGGCCGAUUACCGAGGGCCUCGGUCUCAGGUCAGUUCUUUUCAAAAAGACACUUUUCAAAAAGACAAUUCUGGGGCUGGACCUUUCGUGGCGGCUCCUGGCGGUACUACAACUCCCAGCGAGCAUCGCGCGGGCCAGCCCUCCGCGGCGGGGUAAAUCUCCGGCCGACCUGGAUGUGUGGCGGCGAGGGAAGGGCUGAGCCGCGGGUUCCGGGUUUUUGAGGUCGACUUAAGGCUUUGGCCUCUGCGAGGGCUGAGCAACGGAACGGCGAGCCGUAUGACCUACCCACUCAGGCACGCCCCCGGCCUCUGGCCCGCCUCUGCCUUCCUCUCCGGUCUGGCCCCGACUCGUUUCUUCUUCCAGUUUCCCGCGGGGAGUAACCCUUGAAGACGACCAACCGCAGCCGAGCAUUUUGCCGGCCGGGCCAAUCAGAGGAGCGGGUGGAAGAGGCGGAGGUAGAAGCCCCGCCAGGCCGCCAGCGGGGUGUACGUUUCUCCCGGAAAGGGUAGGCCUCCCCGGCUGGAACCCCGAGGGGAGCAAAGGAGCCUUAGCGGGGUGCGGAAGUGCACGGGCCUCUCCGCUCUCAGUGGGGCGUCGGAGGGGCCAGGCUUACCCUUCAGCGGCCCCCUUCAGGUGUCUGGGCCCAGUCUCGGCCGCCAUGGCUCACAGGACCCCUCCGGGCUCUUCAGCCUCACAUGCCAGCUGCCUGGACCUGUGGAGGGAAAAGAAUGACCAACUAGUUCAACAGACCAAGGUUGCUCAGGACUCGGGUCUGUCUCCGAGGCGACAGCAGUUGGCUCAAGAUGCACUGGAAGGGCUCCGGGGACUCCUCCAUAGUCUGCAGGGGCUCCCUGCGGCUGUUUCUGUUCUCCCCUUGGAACUGACUGUCAUCUGCAAUUUCAUUACCCUGAGGGCAAGCCUGGCCCAGGGUUUCACUGAGGACCUGGCACAGGAUAUCCAGCAGGGCCUAGAGAGAGUGCUGGAGACCCAGGAGCAGCUGAAGGCCAGGCUGGAACAUGGGCUCAGGGGGCUGUGGGACUCCGUCCUCCGUGUUUCCUCCCUUCUGCCGGAGCUGCUCCCUGCUCUUCACCACCUUGCUGGCCUGCAGGCUGCCCUUUGGCUGAGCACUGACCGUCUUGGGGACCUGACCUUGCUGCUGCAGAACCUGAAUGUUAGCCAGAGCAGGGCCUCUGAGGAUCUGCUGCUGCUCCUGAAAACUUGGAAGCCCCCAGCUGAGGAGUCAGAUGCUCCAUUGACCCUGCAGGAUGCCCAGGACUUGAGGGGUGUCCUUCUGACAGCAUUUGCUUAUCGCCAAGGCCUCCAGGAGCUGAUCACAGGGAACCUGCCCAGGGCACUGAGCAGCCUGCAUGAAGCGGCCUCAGGUCUGUGCCCACGGCCUGUGUUGGUCCAGGUGUACACAGCCCUGGGGACCUGUCUUCGUAAGAUGGGCAGUCCACAGAGAGCUCUGCUGUACUUGGUUGCAGCCCUGAAAGGGGAAUCAACCUGGGGUCCCCCGCUUCUGGAGGCCUCCAGGCUGUAUCGGCAACUGGAGAACACGGCAGCAGAGAUUGAGUGUCUGGAGCUGCUGGUUGAGGCCUUGAGUGUCGCUCAUAUCCCUGAAGCCCCACAGCUUCUCAUUGAGGUAGAGUUACUACUCCCACGACCUGACCCAGCCUCACCCCUUCACUGUGGCACACAGAGCCAGGCCAAGUACCUGCUAGCAAGCCGAUGCCUACAGACGGGAAGGGCAGAGAAUGCUGCAGAACAUUACCUGGACCUGCUGGCCCUGUUGCUGGAUGGCUCGGAGCCAAAGUUCUCCCCACCCCCAUGCCCCCCAGGGCCCUGUGUGCCUGAGGUGUUCUUGGAGGCAGCAGCAGCGCUGAUUCAGGCAGGCCGAGCCCAGGAUGCUUUGACCGUGUGUGAGGAGCUUCUUAGCCGCAUGUCAUCCCUGCUUCCCAAGAGGCCCCGGCUGUGGGGACAUGCCAGAAGAGGAACCAAAGAGUUACCACACUGCUCACCCUGGGUCUCUGCCACCUAUCUGCUUCAGGGCCAAGCUUGGGUGCAACUGGGGGCCCAAAAGGAGGCAAUUAGUGAAUUUAGCCGGUGCCUUGAGCUGCUCUUCCAGGCCACACCCAAGGAUAAAGAACAAGGGCCUGCUUCCAGCUGUGAGCAGGGGUGUACAUCUGAUGUGGCACUACAACAGCUUCGGGCAGCCGCCCUGAUUAGUCGUGGACUGGAAUGGGUGGCCAGUGGCCAGGAUACCAAAGCCCUACAGGACUUCCUUCUCAGUGUGCAGGUGUGCCCAGACUCUGAGGAGGCUGGAUCGGAGGGAUGAGGCCACUGCUCUCUGGCGGGGGCUGGAGGCCCAAACUGGGUUGCCACAGGAGAAUGCUGCAUGGUCUCUCCCCCUGUACCUGGAAACCUGUUUGGGCUGGAUCCAUCCCCCUGACCGUGAAACCCUUCUUGAGGAAUUUCGGACGUCUCUGUUGGAGACUUGUGACCUGUAGCUGCCACGUUUCAAAGAACCUGAGCUGGGGCCUCAGUGGGCCAUCUGUGGGGAGGGCUUUCUGCUAUACCGUCCUUGGGGAACAUGGCUGGAGCUGACCAUUCCAAUAUAAGUCUGGCAUUGGAGAGGCUGGUGGUAGUUCUCCAAAAUUUGGUCUGGUUACUGCAGUUCUGGUUCCAGAAGAAGCCCCCCUUCCACCAACAAGGCAUUGACUUUGCUCAUAGCACCUUUUUUCCUGUUUCCCUUUUCAUGUGUUGAGUAAAAUUUCAUGUCUAUCU